rnacentral:rRNA from 1 species
AUACGGAGGGUCCAAGCGUUAUCCGGAAUCAUUGGGUUUAAAGGGUCCGCAGGCGGUCAAUUAAGUCAGAGGUGAAAGCCCAUCGCUCAACGAUAGAACUGCCUUUGAUACUGGUUGACUUGAGUUAUACGGAAGUAGAUAGAAUAAGUAGUGUAGCGGUGAAAUGCAUAGAUAUUACUUAGAAUACCGAUUGCGAAGGCAGUCUACUACGUAUAUACUGACGCUGAGGGACGAAAGCGUGGGGAGCGAACAGGAUUAGAUACCCUAGUAGUCC